rnacentral:ncRNA from 1 species
AUUGUUUUAUUUUUGCAAAUAAAUUUAAUUAUAGUAUAUUUUACAUGUAAAUAUUUGUGUGAAUUAUUUUUAUCUAAAAGAUAAAAAAAAUUUUAUUUAUUCGCAGUAAUUAAUUUUAAUUAUUAAAGAAAUUUAGAAUUAGUAAUAUUAUUUAGUAUUGGCAAAUUUUGUGCCAGCUGCUGCGGUUAUACAAAAAAUGCAAUUAAAUAAUUUUAGAUAUUAGUUAAAUAAAUUAUUUAUAUAAGUAAAAAUUAUUUAUUAGGUGAAAUUUUUAAAUAAUUUUUAUUAUAUUAUUAGUUAAUUGAAGCUAUGAAAUUUUAAUGAUAAACUAGGAUUAGAUACCCUAUUAUUUAAAAUGUAAAUAAAAAUUCUAGAAUAGUAUUAGUUUAUGUUCUUGAAACUUAAAAAAUUUGGCGGUAUUUUAGUCUAUUCAGAGGAACCUGUUUUAUAAUUGAUAAUCCACGAUGAACCUCACUUAAAUUUGUUAUUCAAUAUGUAUACCGUCGUCAUCAGAAUAUUUUAAAAGAAAAAAAAUUUUCUAAAAUUUUUAUUAAAAAUGAUGUCAGAUCAAGGUGCAGUUUAUAUUUAAGUAAAAAUGGGUUACAAUAAAUUUAUUUUUGGAAUAUUAAUUGAAAUAUUAGUAUUAAAUUGGAUUUGAUAGUAAAAUAAUAAAGAUUAAUUAUUUGAUUAUAGCUCUAAAAUAUGCACAUAUCGCCCGUCGCUCUCAUUAUUAAAAUGAGAUAAGUCGUAACAUAGUAGAGGUACCGGAAGGUGUUUCUAGAAUGA